rnacentral:rRNA from 1 species
CCUACGGGCGGCAGCAGUGGGGAAUAUUGGACAAUGGGGGGAACCCUGAUCCAGCCAUGCCGCGUGUGUGAAGAAGGCCCUCGGGUUGUAAAGCACUUUCAGUGAGGAAGAACGCCUGGUGGUUAAUACCCAUCAGGAAAGACAUCACUCACAGAAGAAGCACCGGCUAACUCCGUGCCAGCAGCCGCGGUAAUACGGAGGGUGCGAGCGUUAAUCGGAAUUACUGGGCGUAAAGCGCGCGUAGGUGGCUUGAUAAGCCGGUUGUGAAAGCCCCGGGCUCAACCUGGGAACGGCAUCCGGAACUGUCAAGCUAGAGUGCAGGAGAGGAAGGUAGAAUUCCCGGUGUAGCGGUGAAAUGCGUAGAGAUCGGGAGGAAUACCAGUGGCGAAGGCGGCCUUCUGGACUGACACUGAAACUGAGGUGCGAAAGCGUGGGUAGCAAACAGGAUUCGAUACCCGAGUAGUC